rnacentral:rRNA from 1 species
GCAAGUCGAACGGUAACAUUUCUAGCUUGCUAGAAGAUGACGAGUGGCGGACGGGUGAGUAAUACUUAGGAAUAUGCCUUUUGGAGGGGGAUAACCAUUGGAAACGAUGGCUAAUACCGCAUAACGUCUACGGAGCAAAGGGGGCUGCGGCUCCCACCAAAAGAGGAGCCUAAGCGAGAUUAGCAUGUGGGUGAGGUAAGAGCUCACCAAGGCGACGAUCUCUAGCUGUUCUGAGAGGAAGAUC